UCUCGAGGCAGGAUCAAAACCUGCUCAAGGCACUCCCACAGCCACAAUCCGGUGUGAGUUUUCCUCUCUCCCUGUCUGGCUCGCUCAAUCUCCUUUCUUCCUCACUGCAGAGACCGUCCUCAUGGCCACAGAACCUUAUCGAUGCAAGACUCUGGUUCUCCGGGUGUCCAUCCACUGCGAGGGAUGCAAGAAGAAGGUGAAGAAAGCUCUGCAGAGCGUCGACGGUGUGUUUUUUUAAGGAAUUAAGAAUGAAUUUAACUUAUUUUUUAAGGAACGUCCACGGUGUGUUAUCAACUCUGUCUAUCUACCACCAUUUUUACUCCGUCUUUACUUGUCCGUUAUUUAUUUUUU